GAAUUUUGGACAAUGGGCGCAAGCCUGAUCCAGCCAUGCCGCGUGCGGGAUGAAGGCCUUCGGGUUGUAAACUGCUUUUAUCCGGAAAGAAGAGCUCUGGGUUAAUACCCUUGGAUCAUGACGGUACCGUCAGAAUAAGCCCCGGCUAACUCCGUUCCAGCAGCCGCGGUAAUACGUAGGGUGCAAGCGUUAACCGGAAUUACUGGGCGUAAAGCGAGCGUAGGCGGUUUGGUAAGACAGAGGUGAAAGCCCCGGGCUCAACCUGGGAACUGCAUCUGUGACUGUAAGGCUAGAGUACGGGAGAGGGGGGUAGAAUUCCGCGUGUAGCAGUGAAAUGCGUAGAUAUGCGGAGGAACACCGAUGGCGAAGGCAACCCCCUGGGAUUGUACUGACGCUGAUGCACGAAAGCGUGGGGAGCAAAC
rnacentral:rRNA from 1 species